rnacentral:misc_RNA from 1 species
GAAAUGCGAUAAGUAAUGUGAAUUGCAGAAUUCAGUGAAUCAUCGAAUCUUUGAACGCACAUUGCACCCGCCAGUAUUCUGGCGGGCAUGCCUGUUCGAGCGUCAUUUCAACCAUCAAGCCCCCGGCUUGUGUUGGGGACCUGCGGCUGCCCGCAGGCCCUGAAAACCAGUGGCGGGCUCGCUGUCACACCGAGCGUAGUAGCAUACAUCUCGCUCAGGGCGUGCUGCGGGUUCCGGCCGUUAAAAGCCUUUUUUACCCAAGGUUGACCUCGGAUCAGGUAGGAAGACCCGCUGAACUUAAGC